UACGGGGGGAGCAAGCGUUGUUCGGAUUUACUGGGCGUAAAGGGCGCGUAGGCGGCUCGUGACAAGUCACUUGUGAAAUCUCCGGGCUUAACUCGGAACGGUCAACUGAUACUGCGCGGCUAGAGUGCAGAAGGGGCAACUGGAAUUCUCGGUGUAGCGGUGAAAUGCGUAGAUAUCGAGAGGAACACCUGCGGCGAAGGCGGGUUGCUGGGCUGACACUGACGCUGAUGCGCGAAAGCCAGGGGAGCGAACGGG
rnacentral:rRNA from 1 species